AAUUCGCCCUUUUCCGGUUGAUCCUGCCGGACCCGACUGCUAUCGGAUUGAGAUUUAGCCAUGCGAGUUGAACGCCUUCCUGUUGCGGAGGGCGUAGCAUACGGCUCAGUAACACGUAGUCAACCUGCCCUGGAGACGUGGACAACCCCGGGAAACUGGGAUUAAUCCGCGAUAGGUCACCUCAUCUGGAAGGAGAGAUGGCCCAAAGGGGUGCGCGAGCUUCUUUUGCGCAUUCGCUCCAGGAUGGGACUGCGGCCGAUCAGGCUGUUGGCGGGGUAAUGGCCCACCAAACCUGUAACCGGUACGGGCUUUGAGAGAAGGAGCCCGGAGAUGGACACUGAGAGAAGGGUCCAGGUCCUACGGGGCGCAGCAGGCGCGAAACCUUCGCAAUGCGCGAAAGCGUGACGAGGUUAGUCCGAGUGGCUUCCGCUGAGGAAGUCUUUUACUGGCUCUAAAAAGGCUGGAGAAUAAGGGGAGGGCAAGCCUGGUGUCAGCCGCCGCGGUAAUACCAGCUCCUCGAGUGGUCGGGGCGAUUAUUGGGCCUAAAGCAUCCGUAGCCGGUUCAGUAGGUCUCCUGCAAAAUCCAAUCGCUUAACGAUUGGCCCGCAGGAGAUACCGUUGGACUAGGAGGCGGGAGAGGUGGACGGUACUCCACGUGUAGGGGUAAAAUCCUUUGAUCCGUGGAAGACCACCAGUGGCGAAGGCGGUCCACCAGAACGCGCUCGACGGUGAGGGAUGAAAGCUGGGGGAGCGAACCGGAUUAGAUACCCGGGUAGUCCCAGCCGUAAACGAUGCGAGCUAGAUGAUCCAAUCGCAAAUCGCGAUUGGAGUGUCGCAGGGAAGCCGUUAAGCUCGCCGCCUGGGGAGUACGGCCGCAAGGCUGAAACUUAAAGGAAUUGGCGGGGGAGCACCACAAGGGGUGAAGCCUGCGGUUCAAUUGGAGUCAACGCCAGGAAACUUACCAGGAGAGACAGCAGAUUGAGGGUCAGGCUGAAGACCUUACCUGACGAGCUGAGAGGAGGUGCAUGGCCGUCGCCAGCUCGUGCCGUGAGGCGUCCUGUUAAGUCAGGCAACGAGCGAGACCCAAAGGGCGAAUUC
rnacentral:rRNA from 2 species